AUUGAACGCUGGCGGCAGGCCUAACACAUGCAAGUCGAACGAGUGGCGGACGGGUGAGUAAUGUCUGGGAAACUGCCUGAUGGAGGGGGAUAACUACUGGAAACGGUAGCUAAUACCGCAUACCAUCAGAUGUACCCAGAUGGGAUGAGCUAGUUGGUGGGGUAAAGGCUCACAAAGGCGACGAUCCCUAGCUGGUCUGAGAGGAUGACCAACCACACUGGAACUGAGACACGGUCCGGACUCGUAGUGGAGGCAGCAGAGGGGAAUAUUGCACAAUGGGCGCAAGCCUGAUGCAGCCAUGCGGCGUGUGUGGAGAAGGCCUUCGGGUUGUAAAGUACUUUCAGCAGGGAGGCGUUACCCGCAGAGGAAACACCGGCAAACUACGUGCCAGCAGCCGCGGUAAUAC
rnacentral:rRNA from 1 species